CUGAAUUAUUUGCCUUGCGUCUGUUAGUUGUACUUUAGCCAGGGGAACAAUUCUAGCCAUGUAAAUUGUAUAAACAGUUUCUUCCUUCAGUAUUCUUUCCAUUUUACGAGGUUUUGUCAAUGAAAAUAAGAUAUAGCACGAAUCUUCAAAACGGGCUCAAUCAAAACACUAGGUCCGCAGAUGCGUGAAAACCCGGUCAAUGUUUACGGAUAAAAUUCACCGACUUUCUUUCACUCUGAGUCGGUGGAUCGGUUCCUUUGUUGGGAAAUAGAUGCAUGGGUAUUCCUUCAGGCUGUUCAGAAUUCGUGCAAUAAUCUAAGUUAGAACUGCCAGAAACACGGUCUUCGUCUCCGCGUUUGUUGGUUUUACUAUAAUUUUAAUACGCCAUGAUGAAAUCGUGUUCAUCUUAUGACGUCACAUGGCAUCAACAUGGCCGAUCAAAAGUUCGCACAGGAAGUGCCAAAAAUGGCCGUUUGGAAGGCUAUAAAAUCGGUUUGAAUUAACCAAUUUCAAUUCUGUUUGUGGUAAAAAGCUGAACAGUACUUUGAUGUAUAGACCGUCCCAGAACAUGGAAAACUGUGUGCAGUAAAUGUGGUUCUUUACAUACAAACUGUUGACGUUUAUGAUGUAAUUAUAAUUGUUGUAAGUCAGUGGUUAUGUAUGUAUUCUUGUAAUACCUAUAAGUAAAUAUGUAAUGUAAGUUUUUGGUGGGACUUAAUUAGGGACUCACGUCCUGUUGUCCUUACCAUUAGUCAUUUGAUUGUAAAGUUAAUAAAAAUUCAUUAUAUCCUCGG